UGUGAGUUUAAGCCCCACCUUGGGUUACAAGCAUUGUAGAAAAUCCCUCACAGUCUUUCCUCUGAAAAGGAAGUCUUUCAUAUGAUUUCAACCAAAGGAGGAAAAUUCAUCUUGGGAUUGCUGACUUUAUUAUGUUCUUAUAGGAUAAAACCACCAAAUGAGUAAGGCUAAAUUAAUUUUCACUCUUUACAACUAGAAGCACAAGGGAAGGCUGGUGCCGGUGCUGCUCCACUAGCUGGGCUGAGAUAAGUGGAGGACUUGAGCUGACCUGACUUACCCUCCCCCAUGUUGAUGUAUAAAUCCUAUUUCUGUUCACAUCCCCAUCUCUGUAUGUUUAACACCCAAUGUCAUGUUAAUGCAGCAUUUUAUUUACACUCACAUUUCUUCUUCUUUUUCCCCAAAUUAAGAGAGAAGAAUGACUUUUUUUCCCCCUUCAAUAUCAUUUCCCUCCCAGGGCAGGCUUAUAAUAUAGACCCUUAGAAGACUUUGGUUUAGAAGUUGGCAAAUUAAAAAUGCUUAAUCUUUGCGGAUACCUUAUCAGUUUGGACCGUCAAGCUUUUUGAGGCUUCUUUCUGAAUAACACCCCCAUCCUGUCAGCCAAGGAUGCAGCAAAAGAAUGGCUUUACUCCUGUCAGCAACUGUGAACAAAAACCUUCCCUCACCUCUAUUUUAACUAAUAUGUCAGGGUGGAAAGGGAGAGGUAUUAGUUGUGAUAGUUACCUAUGUAGUACUUUAUUAUUAAGGUUCCUGUUUAGUCAUUUCUAAUAGUUGUUUUUAGUGAAUAAAAUAAUGCUUGCUUGGGGGUGCCUGGCUAGCUCAAUCCAUAGAGCAUGUGACUCUUG